rnacentral:rRNA from 1 species
UCGUAACAAGGUCUCCGUAGGUGAACCUGCGGAGGGAUCAU